UACGUAGGGGGCUAGCGUUGUCCGGAUUUAUUGGGCGUAAAGAGCGUGUAGGCGGCCAGGUAGGUCCGUUGUGAAAACUCGAGGCUCAACCUCGAGACGUCGGCGGAAACCCUCUGGCUAGAGUCCGGAAGAGGAGAGUGGAAUUCCUGGUGUAGCGGUGAAAUGCGCAGAUAUCAGGAAGAACACCAGCGGCGAAGGCGGCGCUCUGGGCCGGAACUGACGCUGAGGAGCGAAAGCGUGGGUAGCAAACAGG
rnacentral:rRNA from 1 species